CCCUGGCUUUAGCAGCACAGAAAUAUUGGCACCUGAGGGAAAACCAUGCCAGUAUUGAGUGCUGCUCCAG
rnacentral:pre_miRNA from 1 species